rnacentral:rRNA from 1 species
GACGAACGCUGGCGGCGUGCUUAACACAUGCAAGUCGAACGGAAAGGCCCUGCUUUUGUGGGGUGCUCGAGUGGCGAACGGGUGAGUAACACGUGAGUAACCUGCCCUUGACUUUGGGAUAACUUCAGGAAACUGGGGCUAAUACCGUAUAGGAGCUCCUGCUGCAUGGUGGGGGUUGGAAAGUUUCGGCGGUUGGGGAUGGACUCGCGGCUUAUCAGCUUGUUGGUGGGGUAGUGGCUUACCAAGGCUUUGACGGGUAGCCGGCCUGAGAGGGUGACCGGCCACAUUGGGACUGAGGUACGGCCCAGACUCCUACGGGAGGCAGCAGUGGGGAAUAUUGCACAAUGGGCGGAAGCCUGAUGCAGCAACGCCGCGUGCGGGAUGACGGCCUUCGGGUUGUAAAACGCUUUCGCCUGUGACGAAGCGUGAGUGACGGUAAUGGGUAAAGAAGCACCGGCUAACUACGUG